rnacentral:RNase_P_RNA from 1 species
GAAAUCACUCCCGAUGCACGCCAGAACCUAUUCCACCAACUUUCAGGAGGUUGCAUUAGGUUAGCACGCUGAUUUGUAAAUUCCUUUCCUGUUUGGACUACAAAUUGGACUACACUAGCCUCAAUUCGAAAUGAUUUAUUAACCGUACUGAGCAAGACCAAAUAGGGACCCUUAAGGCGUGGCCCGCGCUGGGUCCGGGUAGGUUGCUGGAGGUCUGUGGUGACGCAGAUCCUAGAUGAAUGAUUGUCCACGACAAAACCCGGCUUAUCGGCUGACUCCCACU